AACGAACGCUGGCGGCAGGCUUAACACAUGCAAGUCGAACGCUCCGCAAGGGGAGUGGCAGACGGGUGAGUAACACGUGGGAACAUGCCCAAAGGUACGGAAUAUUCUCGGGAAACUGGGAGCAAUACCGUAUGUGCCCGAAAGGGGAAAGAUUUAUCGCCUUUGGAUUGGCCCGCGUCAGAUUAGGUAGUUGGUGGGGUAAUGGCCUACCAAGCCGGCGAUCUGUAGCUGGUCUGAGAGGACGACCAGCCACACUGGGACUGAGACACGGCCCAGACGCCUACGGGAGGCAGCAGUGGGGAAUCUUGGACAAUGGGCGCAAGCCUGAUCCAGCCAUGCCGCGUGGAUGAUGAAGGCCCUAGGGUUGUAAAAUCCUUUCGUUGGGGACGAUAAUGACGGUACCCAAAGAAGAAGCUCCGGCUAACUUCGUGCCAGCAGCCGCCGUAA
rnacentral:rRNA from 1 species